GUGGGAGGAGAGACCCAUGAGAAGAGGGGGUUUGAGUUCCCUAUCUAAGCAAAAGGAACCAGGGGGAAGUUACAGCAAUAGAGCUAGCCUGGUGGUGAGCACAGAAACAGGGGCAAGGCCCCUGGGAGGUCACCCUUUGGGUUGCUAUUCUGGAAGAGGAAUAAGGAGCUGGGGAGAACCAGAGAGCCCAGGGGGUGGUGGCAUGGAAAGCAGUGGCCUAAGUUUGUUUUAUUUGGGAAGUUUAAGUUCUGCUGAGAGAUGCUGGGCAGAGAGCCCAGAAACCCCUGAUUCUGAGAAGAGUGGGAUUGAAGAGGAGCCCAGGAGGGCUGGAAGAUUUCAAAUUGAUGACUAGUACUGUGAAGGACACAGUUUAUUUGGGAUACUGAUACACCAGAAGGGGUGAAGAAGUACGUAACUUGGCUCUAGGGCUGAGUCCCUAGAAGAACCAGACCACCACAGGACCGCAAUGGUCAUUGGAAGGAGGGGACUGAAGGGAAGGUCCUGUAAUGCUGCAUCCAGCCAUGAAGGGAUAUGCUGAUUGUGCCCCAGCAUAAAUUUGUGCAGCCUUCAGCUCUGCUUUGCAUAGUCUGUCAAUGGCCCCGAGCGAGUCUAGAGAUGCCCUGGCCGAGCUUCCUUUCCCAUGCUAUACUCCCGGAGAAGAGAGGCAUAGGAGCCACUAUGCUGAGGCUGACCAGACUGUGGAUGCUUAGCCAACAAAAUUUAGCAGCCUCAAAUUCAAAGGGUGCGUUGUGCAGCAUCUGCUACCCUGCACUGUCCAGUGCUUUUUUGCCCAUCAUUCCUGAAAGUACUGCUUUGGUGAGCCACACUUAGCAAUGAUGAAAUACAACAUGCCUGCCUGCACUGGUUCAAAGCUACUCUGAUAUCAAAAGCAGCAUGAGGCAAAAGCAACACACAAUUCAGCAAAGCAGCUGGCAGACCAACUGGUGGGGUGGAUCACAGAGGCCACAAGAAAAACACAGCUUUGCUGGGUGACUGUAUGUUACAUGUGGAAAUCCACAAGACUUGACCAUCAGUGCUCCUCACACUGGGGAGGAAAAUGUGCUCCAAAUUACUCCCCUCAUAUGAAAAACCAUGAGGAAACUUGAGGAUUGUUGCAAAAUUGGUAGUGCUUUGCACUGCUAUUCAGGAGAAUGGAGUUCAGUUCCUGCCUCUCUUACUUAUGGCAGGGUUGAGUGCUACAGAGGCAGUGAAUGCAACUUCUAGGAGAGUGGGAUGGGGAGAGGGAGAGACUGCACCAUGCUGGCUGAAUAAUGAAUGGCAGCGAAUCCUGUUCAGGGUGAAAUUCUAGCCCCAGUGAAGUCAAUUGCAAAAUCCCUAACGAUU